GCCGUUUUAGCUCAGUUGGUAGAGCAACUGACCUGUAAUCAGUAGGUGGUAGGUUCGAUUCCUAUAAACGGCACCA
rnacentral:tRNA from 1 species